ACACAUUAUGAUCUUUAUCAUAAUAUCAUCGAAAUUCUUUUCGAUGGGUUGGAAUAAUUCCAACACUGCCCAUUGAGAAUCAUCGAUCAUCAGGAUAAUACUCGUGGGUCUCACAAUCUACCAAUGACACCUAGCAGUAUGUAGUGGCAAUCCAGUAAAAUGAAAGUAUGAACCUCUAGAUCAGUUAUCAUAUGAUUCACUCCUUCUAUCAAAAGUUUAGACUUGACGGAGAUCACGGAUGACUCAUCAAAUUCCAUCGCCAGUCAUAUGCAAGAUUAGCUUGACUUCAGUUAACUUGUGAAUCUCAUAGAAACUCUUUUUCAAAAUUCACUCUUGCUUUGGCCAAAG
rnacentral:lncRNA from 1 species